CAGUAGCCGCGGUAAUACGUAGGUGGCAAGCGUUGUCCGGAAUUAUUGGGCGUAAAGGGCUCGCAGGCGGUUUCUUAAGUCUGAUGUGAAAGCCCCCGGCUCAACCGGGGAGGGUCAUUGGAAACUGGGAAACUUGAGCGCAGAAGAGGAGAGUGGAAUUCCACGUGUAGCGGUGAAAUGCGUAGAGAUGUGGAGGAACACCAGUGGCGAAGGCGACUCUCUGGUCUGUAACUGACGCUGAGGAGCGAGAGCGUGGGGAGCGAACAGGAUUAGAUACCCGAGUAGUCCCUGUCUCUUAUAC
rnacentral:rRNA from 1 species